rnacentral:rRNA from 1 species
UACAGAGGGUGCGAGCGUUAAUCGGAAUUACUGGGCGUAAAGCGUGCGUAGACGGUAGCGUAAGUCAGAUGUGAAAGCCCCCGGGCUCAACCUGGGAACUGCAUUUGAGACUGCUCUGCUCGGGUGCGGAAGAGGGAAGCGGAAUUUCCGGUGUAGCGGUGAAAUGCGUAGAUAUCGGAAGGAACACCAGUGGCGAAAGCGGCUUCCUGGUCCGACACCGACGUUCAGGCACGAAAAGCGUGGGGAGCAAACAGG